rnacentral:rRNA from 1 species
AUUGAACGCUGGCGGCAUGCCUUACACAUGCAAGUCGAACGGCAGCGGGGGAGAAGCUUGCUUUUCCUGCCGGCGAGUGGCGAACGGGUGAGUAAUACAUCGGAACGUGCCCUGUAGUGGGGGAUAACUAGUCGAAAGAUUAGCUAAUACCGCAUACGACCUGAGGGUGAAGGUGGGGGACCGCAAGGCCUCUUGCUAUAGGAGCGGCCGAUGUCUGAUUAGCUAGGUGGUGGGCUAAAGGCCUACCAAGGCGACGAUCAGUAGCUGGUCUGGAAGGACUAUCAGCCACACUGGGACUGAGAAACGGCCCAGACUCCUACGGGAGGCAGCAGUGGGGAAUUUUGGACAAUGGGCGAAAGCCUGAUCCAGCAAUGCCGCGUGUGUGAAGAAGGCCUUCGGGUUGUAAAGCACUUUUGUCCGGAAAGAAAUGGCUCUGGUUAAUACCUGGGGUCGAUGACGGUACCGGAAGAAUAAGGACCGGCUAACUACGUGCCAGCCGCCGCGGUAA